rnacentral:lncRNA from 1 species
GACAGAAUAAGAUUUGGAGGGUGAGGGGCCAGAACACACAGCGAGGCAUUAGCCUUCAGGAGAGUUUAUGGGCAGAGGUGGAGAUAGCAAAGCCUGUAUCAAAUAUUAAAGAGCAUCUCUGAGUGUAAGUCACGUGAUUUCAUAGAAAAUGUGUGUUAAGUCCUGCCUCUCCCAUCUCCUCAUUGGUUUAUAGAAGCAGAUACUCACGUACCAUCUCCUCAUUGGUUCUACCCACGUGGGUGACUGAAAGACUAACGGCGUCUUAGUCGCAUGAUUGCAAAAAAAAGGUAUCUACAGUUUGCGUCCCACUCCAGGCAGACUACAAUUUGCCCUUAGACACAGAUCUAGGCUCAGUUUACGCAAUGCCAAUACCUACCUAAAAACCAUUUGGGGAGGAAACACAACUCAUCUUAGGUCAGUUUCUACUGCAAGACUCCUUGUGUCCUUGCGACCACGGGACUUCUUAUUAACUAAAAGACACUUGACUUCACCCUGUUGUUGUAGCCUUAUGUUACACCCCUAAUUUUUCUUCCUGUAAAAGCAUGCCAGUGGCCAUUGAAGGUGAGCAUUUGCCCACUGAAGUCAGUUACGACGCAGAACUGCAGUCAGGUCAAGACCCUGUUGAGGACGACGAGCACGCAGAUGAGCUUCCCUGAGACAGUUUCUGACAGUUUCAUCAGCUGUCCGGUUGGUUGGUAUCAGACAAUCCCACAGGUGAAGAAGCUGGAUGUGGAGGUCCUGGGCUGGCGUGGUUACACCUGGUCUGCGGUUAUGAGGCCAGAUGGAUGUACUGACAAAUUCUCUAAAACAACUUUAGGCUGCUUAUGGUAGAGAAAUUAACAUUCAAUUCUCUGGCAAUAGCUCUGGACAUUCCUGCAGUCAGCAAUUUAAUUGCACAAAACUUGAGACAUUGAUGGCAUUGUGUGACAAAGUAGAGUGGCCUUUUAUUGUCCCCAGCACAAUAAUCAUGCUGGAUAAUCAGCUUCUUGAUAUGCCACCCCUGUCAGGUGGAUGGAUUAUCUUGGCAAAGGAGAAAUGCUUACUAACAGGGGUGAAAACACUUUAGAGAAAUAAACUAAGAAUAAGCUUUUUGUGAGUAUGGAACAUUUCUGGGAUCUUUUACUUCAGCUCAUGAAACAUGGGAACAAUACUGCAUUCAUAUUUUUGUUCAGUUACUCACCAUCCAUGUUCAGGUUCUGUAGAGUCAGUAUGUCAAGUCCCCAGCUUUAGGUUUUAUGUUUUAUUUAUUUGCACACCUGUUAAUUGAAAUGCAUUCCAGGUGACUACCUGGAAGCUGGUUGAGAGAAUGCCAAGAGUGUGCAAAGCUGUCAUCAAGGCAAAGGAUCCUCUCAAGCUCUGUCAGGUUGGAUGGGGAGCGUCGCUGCACAGCUAAUUUCAGGUGACUCUAGAGAUGUUCGAUCGGGUUCAAGUCCGGACUGGCCGUGCCACUCAAGGACAUUCAAAGACUUGUCCCAUUGCCACUCCUGCAUUGUCUUGACUGUUUGCUUAGGGUCAUUGCCCUGAGCGCUCUGGAGGUUUUCAUCCAGGAUCUCACUGUACUUUGCUCUGUUCAUCUUUCCGUCGAUCCUGACUAGUCUCUCAGUCCCUGCCGCUGAAAAACAUCCCCACAGCAUGCUGCCACCACCAGGCUUCACCGUAAAGAUGGUGCCAGGUUUCCUCCAGAUGUGACACUUGGCAUUCAGGCCAAAGAGUUCAAUCUUGGUUUCAUCAGACCAGAGAAUCUUGUUUCUCAUGGUCUGAGGUGUCUUUAGGUGCCUUUUACUGAGGAGUAGUUUCCGUCUGGCCACUCUAUCAUAAAGGCCAGAAUGGUGGAGUGCUGCAGAGAUGGUUGUCCUUCUGGAAGAUUCUCCCAUCUCCAAAGAGGAACUCUGGAGCUCCGUCAGAGUGACCAUCAGGUUCUUGGUCACCUCCCUGAUCAAGACCCUUCACCCCGAUUGCUCAGUUUGGCUGGGCUGCCAGCUCUAAGAAGAGUCUUGGUGGUUCCAAACUUCUUCCAUUUAAGAAUGAUGGAGGCCACUGUGUUCUUGGGGACCUUUCAAUGCCUCAGAAAUGUUUUGGUAUGCUUCCCCAGAUCUGUGCCUCGACACAAUACUGUCUCGGAGCUCUACGGACAAUUCCUUCGACCUCAUGGCUUGGUUUUGCUCUGACAUUCACUGUCAACUGUGGGACCUCGUACACAGGUGUGUGCCUUUCCAAAUCAUGUGCAAUCAAUUGAAUAUACCACAGGUGGACUCCAAUCAAUUUGUAGAAACAUCUCAAUGAUGUGAAAUGGAAACAGGAUGCACCUGCGCUAAAUUUCAAGUCUCAUAGCAAAGGGUCUGAAUACUAAUGUAAAUAAGGUAUCUGUUUUUGUCAUUAUGGGGUAUUGCGUGUAGAUUGACGAAUAAAACAAUUCAUUUAAUCCAUUUUAGAAUAAGGCUGUAAUAUAACACAAUGUGGAAAAACUUAAAGGGUCUGAAUACUUCCCGAAUGCACUAUAUAUUACAUUUUAGAUGCUUGCUAAUGACCUUUGCGCUUGGAGUCACCCUGUGAGAGAGUUUGUUAUGUUAACAAUGUCCCAUGCUGCAGCAAAAGUACUACUGAAGGUCCCAUUUUAAAAAAAUUUCAGGGACGUGAAUCUACUAUUCCAAGCCCAAUUUUAAUUGUUGUAGCUCUUACUUCUCAUGAUAAUGUAAAUGUUACAUUCUUGGUCGUUGUUGCCAUGUGUUAGUGGGCACUUUAUUACGUUACACAACAAGACAAAGGUCCUUCUUAGCCACAAUUCACGCAUGGAAUUUGGCAGUUUAUUCAAUAAACUGAGGGAAUAAGAUUUGGAGUGGAGGGUGAUGCGCCAGAAUCCACAGGGAGGCCUCAACCUACAGGAGGGUUUAUGGGCAGAGGUGGAGAUAGCAAAGCCUGUAUCAAAUAUUAAAGAACAUAUUUGAAGAUAGUAAACAAUGUUACUGUUAUGACUAACGUUGUACCCCAUCUCUAUGACCGUCACGUGAUUUCACAGAAAAUGUGUCUUUGCAUUUCAACUCUCUGGACCCUAAACUGACAACGUUGGACUCUCACUAAAUAAAAGAUAAAAAAAGAAUGAAUCUUGUCUACAAGUCGACUCUUUAUGCGGUAGCAAUUGAGACUGGGAACGAGGUUGAGAAAGAA